rnacentral:sRNA from 1 species
CUGGAUACCCUGGCAGACUGCUCUCUUCUCUAAUACCUCUUCAGUGGCUAGAAACUGCGAACAACAAUGUGAACUUCACACACUGUCCUGCAAAUGUGCCUUCAUCCGGACCUGGGCUGGAAUGACAACUUCUGGGGAUGAUGAGGUAGUUCAGUCUCUAUGCCCAUUCAGCCUGUUUCUAAU